rnacentral:rRNA from 1 species
GACGAACGCUGGCGGCGUGCCUAAUACAUGCAAGUAGAACGCACAGUUUAUACCGUAGCUUGCUACACCAUAGACUGUGAGUUGCGAACGGGUGAGUAACGCGUAGGUAACCUGCCUGGUAGCGGGGGAUAACUAUUGGAAACGAUAGCUAAUACCGCAUAAUAUUGAUUAUUGCAUGAUAAUUGAUUGAAAGAUGCUAUUGCAUCACUACCAGAUGGACCUGCGUUGUAUUAGCUAGUAGGUGAGGUAACGGCUCACCUAGGCGACGAUACAUAGCCGACCUGAGAGGGUGAUCGGCCACACUGGGACUGAGACACGGCCCAGACUCCUACGGGAGGCAGCAGUAGGGAAUCUUCGGCAAUGGACGAAAGUCUGACCGAGCAACGCCGCGUGAGUGAAGAAGGUUUUCGGAUCGUAAAGCUCUGUUGUAAGAGAAGAACGGAUGUGAGAGUGGAAAGUUCACACUGUGACGGUAUCUUACCAGAAAGGGACGGCUAACUACGUG